rnacentral:rRNA from 1 species
UACCUGCAGCUCGAGUGGUGGCCGCUAUUAUUGGGCCUAAAACGUCCGUAGCCGGUUUAGUAAAUGCCUGGGUAAAUCGUAUAGCUCAACUAUACGAAUUCCGGGUAGACUGCUAAACUUGAGACCGGGAGAAGUUAGAGGUACUCCUGGGGUAGAGGUGAAAUUCUGUAAUCCUAGGGGGACCACCAGUGGCGAAGGCGUCUGACUAGAACGGGUCUGACGGUGAGGGACGAAGCCCUGGGGCGCAAACCGGAUUAGAUACCCCCCGUA